CUAUUGACUGCGGAUAUUUUAUCAUGAGAUUUAUGAAAGAAGUUAUCAUGGAAUAUCCAAAUAAGAUUCCUGAUAAUUAUUUUUCUCGCCAUAGACAUUCUACAUACUCUAAAGAGAAGCUAGAUGAGGUGAAGGAGGAGUGGGCUACCCAUAUGGUUGAAGAUGUUAUCAAUGAUGCAAAGAGGCUGCAAAAAUAAUAGUUGAUCAUUAAUUGGUAGUUUGAGGGCUUCCUUUUUCGAUGAAGUGGGCGGUUCUCAUCAAGUGACAGGUUGCAGAAGAAAGUAGGGC